UACGAAGGGGGCAAGCGUUGUUCGGAAUUACUGGGCGUAAAGGGCGCGUAGGCGGCCGCUCAAGUCAGGUGUGAAAUCCCCGGGCUCAACCUGGGAACUGCACUUGAAACUGUGUGGCUUGAAUCCGUGAGAGGUUGGUGGAAUUCCCAGUGUAGAGGUGAAAUUCGUAGAUAUUGGGAAGAACACCGGUGGCGAAGGCGGCCAACUGGCACGGUAUUGACGCUGAGGCGCGAAAGCGUGGGGAGCAAAC
rnacentral:rRNA from 1 species